GUCUUCGAUGGAGCAUGCGGUGGAUAACUGGCUUGUGGCAGCCAAACGUUCGUAGCGACGUUGCUUUUUGAUCCUUCGGUGUCGGCUCUUCCUAUCAUACUGAAGCAGAAUUCAGUGAGCGUUGGAUUGUUCACCCACGAAUAGGGAACGUGAGCUGGGUUUAGACCGUCGUGAGACAGGUUAGUCUUACCCUACUGAUGAAAUGUUGUUGCAAUAGUAAUUGAACUUAGUACGAGAGGAACCGUUCAUUCGGAUAAUUGGUAUUUGGGCCUGCCUGAGCAGGCAAUAGCCCGAAGCUAUCAUCCGUUGGGUUAUGGCUGAACGCCUCUAAGUCAGAACCUGUGCUAGAACGCGACGAUUACCGCCUUUUUCCGAUUUUUAGUCGAAUACGAAUAGACCCUUGGGUCCAAGAUC
rnacentral:ncRNA from 1 species